rnacentral:lncRNA from 1 species
UUGUUGCUGACUUGUUUCAGUGAUACUUUUUCUUUUUGCAUUAAGAGAUAGGAAAGGCUAAAAUAGCCAAGUACAACACUACCACAACAUCGACCUUGCACGAUCUAACACGACCACAGCAACGACCUUACAUGAACAACAACCUAGCAACCACCACAGUACAGUUCCUCUGCGUCACAACCAAAACAACGAUAUUACACAACCAAAACAGCAUCCUAACGACUAAUCUAAGUCACUGAUCAGAGUGCUUAGCACUUGCAAAGUUGCGAUCCUAUGGCAAUGUACAAUCUGCUGGUCACUUUGCUAGUGGUACGACGUUACCUCUCAGAGUCUCAGUAAAGUCCAAGGUCAUCUGGAAGCCCGAAGUCAUUAAAACCUUCAGCAUCUGGUGCCGUGCCCCAACGACUUGAAACAUCUGAUGAUUCUGCUGUAUUGUCACCAUCUGAAGGUGGUGGAGCCAUUUCUGGGGCAAUAGUAGUACUGCUCUUUUCAGUGACAACUCCUAGAUCACACCAACUAUUGCGCUUCUCCAAGAACGAUUCAUGUUCACAUGACAAUUCUUGUCCUCCUCUAUGGUGCUCAUGACUGAAAUUGGCAUCUGACAUCUUGUGGACAGCAGAGGUAGCAUGGGCAUCUUCCUCACCUAAGUGC